UAGUAUUCUAGUGGGCAUGCCUAUUCGAGCGUCAUUUCAACCCUUAAGCCUCAGUUGCUUAGCGUUGGGACUCUACGACCUAUUAUAGCGUAGUUCCUUAAAGUUAGUGGCGGAGUUAUAGCACACUCUAAGCGUAGUAAUUCUCUCUCGCUUCUUGUAGUGGUUAUAGUUGCUAGCCAUAAAACACCCCCUAUUUUAAUGGUUGACCUCGGAUUAGGUAGGAAUACCCGCUGAACUUAAGCAUAUCAAUAAGCGGAGGAAAAGAAACCAACAGGGAUUGCCCUAGUAACGGCGAGUGAAGCGGCAACAGCUCAAAUUUGAAAUCUGGCCUUCGGGUCCGAAUUGUAAUUUGUAGAGGAUGCUUUGGGUGCGGUACCUUCCGAGUUCCCUGGAACGGGACGCCGGAGAGGGUGAGAGCCCCGUACGGUUGGAUACCAAGCCUAUGUAUAGCUCCUUCGACGAGUCGAGUAGUUUGGGAAUGCUGCUCUAAAUGGGAGGUAAAUUUCUUCUAAAGCUAAAUACCGGCCAGAGACCGAUAGCGCACAAGUAGAGUGAUCGAAAGAUGAAAAGCACUUUGAAAAGAGGGUUAAAUAGCACGUGAAAUUGUUGAAAGGGAAGGCUAUCGAUGAAGAGCGCGGCGGUUCCCCUGGCCUUUUGGCCAGGUUACUCCGUCGUGUCCAGGCCAACAUCGGUUCUGAGGGUCGGUCAAAGGCUCCGGGAAUGUAUCUACCCACGGGUAGACUUAUAGACCGGGGUGUCAUGCGGCCUCUCGGGACCGA
rnacentral:rRNA from 1 species